rnacentral:rRNA from 1 species
GGGGGGAGCGAGCGUUGUUCGGAAUUACUAGGCGUAAAGGGCGUGUAGGCGGACUCGGUAGUCAGGCGUGAAAACUCAUGGCUUAACCAUGAGCCUGCGUCUGAAACUCCUUGUCUUGAGUACAGAAGAGGAGAGUGGAAUUCCUGGUGUAGCGGUGAAAUGCGUAGAUAUCAGGAAGAACACCGGUGGCGAAGGCGACUCUCUGGUCUGAUACUGACGCUGAUGCGCGAAAGCGUGGGGGGAGCAAACAGGAUUAGAUACCCUGGUAGUCCACGCCCGUAAACGAUGGGCACUAGGUGUUGGGGGUAUCGAUCCCCCCAGUGCCGAAGUUAACGCAUUAAGUGCCCCCGCCUGGGAGUACGAUCGCAAGAUUG